rnacentral:lncRNA from 1 species
UGGGGUACAAACAAAGCACAAGAAAUUACAUAUCAUAAGAAGAAACUAUGAUAUUUAAAAUACUAAUUAGCAUAAACCAUUUGCAUUACAAAAAGUUACCGGAAACUUCAUUUUUACACUCAUUUUCUAAAUUUACUUUUCACUCACUGCUACAGUCUCCCAUUCUCACCCCCUACCCUACCCAGACAAACUCAGAGAAAUCGAAGUCGCAACGCCAAGCGCGUACACCCCAAUCGCCGUCCCAAUUAACCCCUUCCCGGACCUCGUCGCGGCUCCAACCCCAGCAAUCCCAGCCACCCCAAUCGGAACGCGCCACAUCACCGCCUUCCUGGCGUUCUCCACCACAUCUCCGGCGAAAAGCUCCACCGCCCACUGCUUGAACUCGGCCGGCCCGAUCGUCUGGGCCCGCGGCGAGCGAGUCACGGCCUCGAGGGCCGAGUCGACCCGGGAGCGAGUCGGCGGAGAUGGGACCCAUUUGAGGAUGAGGGGGUGGGGGUGGACGGUGCGCAGCGUUUCGUGGAGGUGGUUGGAGGCUGUGGGGAGCUGGUAGGGGAAGACGCCUUGGAAAGCGUGCUCGGUGAGCGAGAGGCAGUGAGUGAAGGCCGAGUCGCAAGCUGAGUCGAACGUGGCCGAGUUGGAGAGCGACGACUUCACUCGCUUUGAGCUUGAGAUUCCCAUCUCUCCUUCCCCUCUGGUUUUAUGCGCGCAGCGUUGCGUUUCACGUUUUGAGGCCCCAACGG